rnacentral:rRNA from 1 species
GAUGAACGCUGGCGGCGUGCCUAAUACAUGCAAGUCGAACGCACAGCGAAAGGUGCUUGCACCUUUCAAGUGAGUGGCGAACGGGUGAGUAACACGUGGACAACCUGCCUCAAGGCUGGGGAUAACAUUUGGAAACAGAUGCUAAUACCGAAUAAAACUUAGUGUCGCAUGACACAAAGUUAAAAGGCGCUUCGGCGUCACCUAGAGAUGGAUCCGCGGUGCAUUAGUUAGUUGGUGGGGUAAAGGCCUACCAAGACAAUGAUGCAUAGCCGAGUUGAGAGACUGAUCGGCCACACUGGAACUGAGACACGGCCCAGACUCCUACGGGAGGCUGCAGUAGGGAAUCUUCCACAAUGGGCGAAAGCCUGAUGGAGCAACGCCGCGUGUGUGAUGAAGGCUUUCGGGUUGUAAAGCACUGUUGUAUGGGAAGAACAGCUAGAAUAGGAAAUGAUUCUAGUUUGACGGUACCAAACCAGAAAGGGACGGCUAAAUACGUG